UAGGGAAUCUUCCACAAUGGGCGAAAUCCUGAUGGAGCAACGCCGCGUGUGUGAUGAAGGGUUUCGGCUCGUAAAACACUGUUGUAAGAGAAGAAUGACAUUGAGAGUAACUGUUCAAUGUGUGACGGUAUCUUACCAGAAAGGAACGGCUAAAUACGUGCCAG
rnacentral:rRNA from 1 species